UAGGGAAUCUUUGGCAAUGGACGAAAGUCUGACCGAGCAACGCCGCGUGAGUGAAGAAGGUUUUCGGAUCGUAAAACUCUGUUGUUAGAGAAGAACAAGGACGUUAGUAACUGAACGUCACCUGACGGUAUCUAACCAGAAAGCCACGGCUAACUACGUGCCAGCCGCCGCGGUAAUACGUAGGUGGCAAGCGUUGUCCGGAUUUAUUGGGCGUAAAGCGAGCGCAGGCGGUUUCUUAAGUCUGAUGUGAAAGCCCCCGGCUCAACCGGGGAGGGUCAUUGGAAACUGGGAGACGUGAGUGCAGAAGAGGGGAGUGGAAUUCCAUGUGGAGCAGUGAAAUGCGUAGAUAGAUGGAGGAACACCAGUGGCGAAGGCGGCUGUCUGGUCUGUAACUGACGCUGAGGCUCGAAAGCGUGGGGAGCAAACAGA
rnacentral:rRNA from 1 species